rnacentral:rRNA from 1 species
UCAAAACCGCCACGACUCGUGACCACUUAAUGGUCUGGUGCACUUUUGUGUCGGCUGGUUAACAUCAAUUUCGAUCAUCAUAAAAAGGCUGGAGGGAUGUGGCUCCUUCGGGAGUGUUAUAACCUUUGGCGGAAUGUGGUGGUCGGGAUUGAGGAUUGCAACGAAUACCUUUAGGGCUGUUCCACCUGGCCUCUCAUUGGUAUCCUGGUGGCGACAGCUUGCUGACGUCGUUAGGAUUCGCCUUUGAACAGGCUAGAGUGUGAGCAAA